ensembl:lncRNA
CUGUCUCUGUACUGUCUCAGUACUGUCUCUGUCUCAGUACUGUCUCAGUACUGUCUCUGUCUCUGUACUGUCUCAGUACUGUCUCUGUCUCUGUCUCAGUACUGUCUCAGUACUGUCUCUGUCUCAGUACUGUCUCUGUCUCAGUACUGUCUCUGUCUAAGUACUGUCUCAGUACUGUCUCAGUACGGUCUCUGUCUAAGUACGGUCUCUGUCUCAGUACUGUCUCAGUACUGUCUCUGUCUAAGUACUGUCUCAGUACUGUCUCUGUCUCAUCUCUGUCUCUGUACUGUCUCUGUCUC